CUAAGAUUCCCAAUAUUAGGAAAAUUAUUUUCUUGUUUCUUAAUCUUCACCUAAUUUGUGUUUCUUGGAUGGAUGCCUUUUUCUUAUGAAUUCCUUCGCUGUUCCACUUAACAGCUGAAACAAUUCCACUGGAGAAUUCUUCUCUAUGGAAGACCCUUGGGAAAACGUACGAGACUUGGAUCUGUCCUCUUGUUCAUUCACUUAUUGAGCAUACUGAUGAUAUGAUUUUAAGAUUGUGUCAAGACAUUAUUUUGAUGAAGGAUGAACUAGCGGAGCUACUAUUAUCACAUGUCUUGGUGAACUUAGCGAGAACUAAGGGUUCACAAGUUGAUCUUUGUCCAAGAAAACAUUUUUACGGAGUAUAAUGAACUGAUCAAAUCAGUUCAGAUUAUGCUGGAUGCACUGAUUGAAACCCGACUAUAUCGUGUCAUGGAAAGAGGAGGCACUUCCUCAGCACCACUCAAGAGAGAUAGUCCGAAGAAAUGUACCAGUAGAAAGAUUAGCGGUGUUGAAUUGAAGCUGCUAGAACAGAGUUUGUCAAGGUUGAAGAGGUGAACUACUUUGAAGAAAGAACUCUGAAGAACUGAAGAACAUAGAAAGAUGACUGCAGUGCAGGUCAAUUGAAGUAGUAGCCACCCGGGGGAAUAUCAAUCCCUGGUAAGUACACUUUUGUUUCUUAUUCUUAUCAUAUUGAGUUAUGUUGGAUAUUAAUCUUGAGUAUAUAAUUGCUUUUGAGGUAAUAUGUUGUUCGUGAUGUUGCUACGAGAUAAUGUUGUUGCUGACCUUUCUCCGUUUCAGUAUGUCUAUUAACAACAAAAUAUAAAGAUAGAUUCAGGAAUCAGCAAAAGCUUAUGUCAUGUGCUGUCUGGCUCCCCAUUCUACACCGACCUGUGAAUUUCCAAUUCCCUUUGUUGUCCUUCAACAUGAUGUAGAUACACUCACAGCAGCAGUAGUUUCUGAAUGUUCAUGAUCAACAACUGCUCUGAAACGAAGAUUAUACAAAAUCUAGGGUUUAGUCUUUUGUUUGUGACAUCAGUACCGAAACAUCAGGUUGGUUAUUAUGCAGGUAUUUAGGCUUAAGUCAAAAAACAGUACUUUGGUGAUAUUUUAGAAGCAGUUGAAUUUUUGCUGAGGAGAUUGGUUAAGCAAGCGGAGUCUGGUGAUACUUAUGGUGAUGUUUAGUCUUUCUUUCCCUGUUUUUCAAUGCCUCUUUCAGUUGACACAAACUAGGUUACCCAUCCAUUUAUAAACAUCAACAUAGAUCGAACAUUUUAUGUCAGACACAACAUACAUAAGUUUACUUGUGUACAUUUGUAUCAA